rnacentral:lncRNA from 1 species
CCAACAUGUCUUUUCUAGGAGACACAAUUCAACACCUAGAAAACAGUUAAGAAAAAAAAGAGAAAAUUUGGUAAUUGUCUUCUGUACAGACUUCUAUUAAAACAAUGAGAUGUUUAUUUACCAAAAUCAGGACCAAAUUACAGGCCAGUAUUAAUAUAUGAAACUGCUUGCAUUUCACAUGUACACUUAAAUUUCCAGUCCUGAUUUUCAUACCAAGAGACAUGGCCAAAUCAUCACUUCAUAAAGGAAAACCAUUUUGGAAGGUAAAAAAGACAAUUACUGUUUGAAACAGUCUAACAUUGAACUUUAGAUGUAAACUAUGCCGAGCAAACAUUUUUUCCAGGUAACGUUAUUUGUUGCAGACAGCCCUUGGCCAUUGUGUAGAUCCCAAAUGUGGUGAAAUGUGAGCUCCCAGAUCAUUGCUCAGUUUCCAGCUGCCAUCCCGAGUUUGUUGGUGUCACUGAUUCCAAGAACAAAACACUGGUGCAUGAAAUUAACAACCUUAUAAAUAGAUGACAGCCCAGCAUCUUUAUAGAGCAAUGUGUACUUGCAAAUAAAUACAACCAAAGUCAACAAAAGAGCAUAUUGAUGCUUUGGUAGAGAACUCAGCAGUCUCCCCUCU